rnacentral:rRNA from 1 species
UGCAAAUCGCCUCGGCUUUGCCCGCCCAAGAUUCCCCACAUCCUGCCUCCCAUCGCCGGAAUCGCGGGCGGGCGGGCGGGCGCUCUGAGGAUUCGAGGCGGCGGCCGCCCGUGAUCCCCCCUCCGGCCUCCCGCUUUUCUUGCCGGGAUUUGGGGCUGAUACGGAGGGGAAUUGCCGGUCUUGGCCCCGCUCGCCUCGAUCGGGACCAGCGAGCGACCCCGGCGGUUCUUGUGGACGGCGGGUUCUUGACUUCUUGCCAUCUUUCCCCCAACGGUGCCCCCUGAUUUUUGAGGAAUUCGGUGAGCAUUUGAUAGGGGGUCUUCCCGUGCGCUCAAGGAAGGGUGGUGUGCCGUGAAGGCCUCGUCUUUGGGCAUCCAUGGGGUUCCUCAGCCUCGUGGGCAACUCCUUCGGGUGCUCGGCCUCCGGCGAGCGCCUCGUCUCGGCGGCCCGGGACGGCGACCUGCAGGAGGCGCGCGCGCUCCUCGAGUACAACCCCCGGCUGGCCCGCUACUCCACAUUCGGCGGCCGCAACUCGCCGCUGCACUACGCCGCGGCGCAGGGUCACCAUGAGGUAAUGCCAUUUUGUCUUCCAGGCUGGCUAAAAUGUUGUCAUUUAUGCAUCCAAAAAAAUCUGUUGACACCAUGUCUAGAUUGUUUCUCUGUUGCUCGAAUCCGGUGUGGAGAUCAACCUCAGGAAUUACAGGGGGCAGACUGCUCUGAUGCAAGCCUGCCAAUAUGGCCACUGGGAGGUUGUUCAGACACUGAUGCUCUUCAAUGCAAAUAUCCACAGGACAGAUUAUUUGAAUGGCGGGAUUGCUAUCCAUUUUGCUGCACUGCAUGGUCAUGCCCGGUGCCUUCGUCUCGUGCUUGCAGAUUAUGUGCCAAGCAUCCCAAACUUCUUAAGCCAGACGAAUCACAGAUCGUCUGAGGAAGUUUCAGAUGCUGAUUUUGAUGAUGAUGGUUUGGUCAAGAUGGUAAACUGGAAGGCAGAUGGAGGCCUAACCCCACUUCAUAUGGCAGCGUUAAAUGGCCAUGUAGAGUGUGUACAGUUGUUAUUGGACCUGGGAGCAUCAGUUUCUGAGGUCACCAUUGAAGAUGGAACAACUAUCGACCUUAUAGGAUCAGGUAGCACCCCACUUCAUUACGCUGCUUGUGGUGGAAAUGCUGUAUGUUGUCAACUUCUUAUUGCUCGAGGAGCCAACCUUGCUGCCAAAAAUGCUAGUGGCUCGACCCCGUUAAUGGUAGCUCAUUCAUGGCAUAGAACCUCUAUUGAGGAAAUUUUGAGUAAUGAACCAGGGGGUCAAAUACGUACUCUUCCUUCUCCAUAUUUGUGCCUCCCACUUAUGAGUAUCAUGAGCAUUGCCAGGGAGUGUGGUUGGAGGUACCUAAACAAGUCACCUGUAUGCAUUGACCCAUGUGCUGUCUGCUUAGACGGGAGCUGCUCUGUUGCCGCAGAAGGAUGCAAACACGAGUUCUGCACGAGAUGCGCCCUGUACCUCUGCUCGACCAGCUACACGUCGGCGAACCCCGCGGGCGCCAUACCGUGCCCGCUGUGCCGGCACCCGAUCACCUCCUUCGUGGCGCUCCCCGGCACGAGCCCGAUAAGGGAGCAGCUCCCCCGGAACAGCCUCUCGCUGUCGUUCUGCGCGACGUGCCCGGCGGUGAGCUCCGACUCGGCGGCCCCUGGUGGAGGCCACCCGUACCGGGCCAGCAGCGAGCUCCACUGCGGCGGGGGCAUGCGGAUGCCGCCGAUGGGGUCGUCGUCGUUCCGGUCGCUGAGCUGCCAGGCGAUGAAGCUGAACCCGUCCUUCUGCAUGGGCGCCAUGGACACCAACCCGUGCCUCAUCCGGUGCUCGCGGUUCGGGUCGAGCCUGGGCCGGUCGGCGUCCCACGGCGAGGCCAACCGGCGAGGAGGGGCGUGGCCCGUGACAUUCAGCCCCAUCGUCGCCACCAGCAGCUGAUGAACCGCAUCCGGUUUCGCCUGCCAUUUUUUGCGGCUUUUUUUCGAAAGGGUGUGUCAUAUUUUGCCUGUUAGUUUGGCUGGCUGCCCCCCCUCCUAUCUAUUUUACCGCGGUGGGGCGGUCGAAAUCCCUCCCCUAUUGGUAUCUAUAUCUAUCAUAUCAUGAGUAGCGAUGUAGCAACAUAUGGAAAUGGAACUAUUCCUACCUACCUGGGUUUGUAAAUAACCUUGUGUUUUUUGGGCGAGCGAUUGGAAUGCAGAUGCAGUGGCACUGCUUUUUGAAACGCUUUUGUUUGAACCGGUGGUUGAAUGGCUGUGAGUGGCCGGCACAAAGGGUGGGGCGGGCGGCGCUGGUCGCCGGCCGUUGGUACAGCCCUGCAUGUUGUACUCCCUCCGUCCCGAAAAACAUGUUGCGCUGGUGUUUUUGCAAUUUAGUCCUCAUUGUUUUCCCGACCAAACCCGCGGUCCUCGUCGUUCUCCUCAGUCCUCACUCGACUGACGCCCGCAGAUUUGCUCGCCCCCUCCCUCCCCAUGCCCCUGCCGCCUUGCUCCCCCUCCUCUUGCCCCCGCAUCCUUGCUCCCCCACACCCCUGCCGCCGCCGCCGCCUUGCUUCCGCCCCGCCGCCCCAUGCCGCUGCCUCGUUUCCCUCCGUCCGCCGCCCGCAGAGGAACGUGAAGAUUCAGUUUUUUUGGAGAAGACCGCCCAACGCCCAACGCCCGCUCUCCUUCCGCAUGUGCCCGUCGUCGACCACCUCCUCGCCGUCGACCACGAAGCUAGCACCCUCCAUGGAGGUUUUCGACCUGAGCAGUGGGAAGCACGUGUGCCCCUUUUCCACUUCCAAGCUGGAGCACUACGCGGCUUCACCGACAUCGAUUACAUCUCGCCGGAGCAUUACGCGGCUGCACCAAGGAGUCCGCCAGAGUCAAAGGUGUCCAUCAAGUAUGGAUGGGGUGGAGUAUGA